GUGCGUGGCAGGCAGGGCCUGUCACUGUCUACUGUUGUCGCUGUGGCUGUAGCAGUGGAGGUGGCCGGGCCUUCUUUCCCACCUCCCCUUCUUCCCCAUGGUCAGCCCCGCUCCCAGGCUCCGUCUGUGCCCCUGCAGCUCCCCAGCGGUGGCCUUUUUGUUCAGUGCUUCCUCGGCGGCUGGGACUCACCCUGAUUUAAAAGCUCCAGACGUGUUCUCGGCAGCCCGGGAGCACAGGAGUCAAAGCAAGACCAGGAGCGGGUUGCUGAGAGGACGCCACGCUGACUGGGGAUCGAGAGGGUGGCUUCCUUCAAACAGAGAAAGGAAAAAGCCCCUUGAACCAAUCUGAAUGUAAAAUCCAAAAGCUAUGGCCACCGCGAGGAAAACAACAGUCAUGAUGCGGGCCAGGAGGCCGUCGCCGUGGGAAUGCAGUCGGCCCUGCGCAUGUGGUGUCUGAGCAGGGCCCGAGACCUUCCAGGGAGGGGAGAAAUACUUUUUGGCUGACUCUCCUGACUCUGUGUUUCCUACAAUUCUACAACAAAGAUCCAGGAACAUGAGAAAAGGAAAAUGAGAAAAUGAGUCCUGUGAUCCAAAUUUAAGCCAAGAACAGGACAGGCAAUGUGAGCCAAAUAGAAAUGAGGCCAAGAGUGCUUUCUUGGGGCCCCAGCUUUUUUUUU
ensembl:lncRNA novel transcript